GCCUACUGUUUAAUUUUGAAAGUUCUUUACGAACUUUAUAUAUGGGGGUGUAGCUCAGUUGGGAGAGCACUUGCCUUGCAAGCAAGGGGUCAGGAGUUCGACUCUCCUCAUCUCCACCAUUUAAGAGUAUAUUACUUAAAUCUUUGAUUUACUUAGUAGCCUCUUACAAUGCACUUAUAGCUUAAAUUUAUACAGGCUUUGUGCGUUAGCACUUUAAGCAACAGAAUAAACUGAACGCAUGUGAAGUUUGUUUGUUGGCGCUGUGCGUUAGCACUUUAAGCAACGGAAUUUAUUCGUUGGCGCUGUGCGUUAGCACUUUGAAAACUGCAUAUAUAUUUAGUGAUAUGACAUCUAAUUUGUAAUAUAUAAAGCUGAUAACUUUUUAAAAUUAUCGAAGUUGAUAGCUUCUAAUCUAUCAAACCUUUUUAACUGGUCAA
rnacentral:tRNA from 1 species